rnacentral:rRNA from 1 species
CAGAGGGGGCAAGCGUUGUUCGGAAUUACUGGGCGUAAAGGGCGCGUAGGCGGCCUGCUAAGUCGAACGUGAAAUCCCCCGGGCUCAACCCGGGAACUGCGUCCGAUACUGGCAGGCUUGAAUCCGGGAGAGGGAUGUGGAAUUCCAGGUGUAGCGGUGAAAUGCGUAGAUAUCUGGAGGAACACCGGUGGCGAAGGCGGCAUCCUGGACCGGUAUUGACGCUGAUGCGCGAAAGCCAGGGGAGCAAACGGGAUUAGAUACCCCGGUAGUCCUGGCCCUAAACGAUGAAUGCUUGGUGUGGCGGGUAUCGAUCCCUGCCGUGCCGAAGCUAACGCAUUAAGCAUUCCGCCUGGGGAGUACGGUCGCAAGGCUG